rnacentral:misc_RNA from 1 species
AAGGGGGCCUGGAGGGAGGUUGAGAUUGAGGGAAGGGUUCUUGGAAGGAAAGAAAAUGCUGAUGAGAGCUUUGAUGAAGGCAGAAAUAGAGAUGGAGAUGAGGAUGAUGAACCAAGUCUCCAUGAAAUGAGAACAAGAGGAUGAGCAAUUGAGAAUGGACCUGGCCUAGUUUCUGCAGGGGUGGAGAAAGGACAAACAGACUACAAAAUAUCCAAGCCACAUGAGAGAGCUUUGCUUGGUAUCUUGAGAGUUUUUUUUUUCUCUGCAAAAGGGUAUAUCGACUUCUACGACCUGGUCUGGUUAUUGAUGAAGUGUUAUGAGAAUACAGAGUAUCGU